rnacentral:rRNA from 1 species
UACGGGGGGGGGCAAGCGUUGUUCGGAUUUAUUGGGCGUAAAGAGCUUGUAGGCGGUUUGUCGCGUCUGCCGUGAAAAUCCGGGGCUCAACCCCGGACUUGCGGUGGGUACGGGCAGACUAGAGUGUGGUAGGGGAGACUGGAAUUCCUGGUGUAGCGGUGAAAUGCGCAGAGAUCAGCAGGAAUACCCGUGGCGAAGGCGGCCCCCUGGGCCGAACCUGACGCUGAGGCGCGAAGGCUAGGGGAGCGAACGGG